UGAAGGUACCUCCUGGAUUGUUAAACUUACUUUUUAUUUUGGGUAAGGAAACCCCGAACCUCUUCUAUUGGGGUUGACGGUACCAGAUGAAUAAGCACCGGCUAACUCCGUGC
rnacentral:rRNA from 1 species